UAUCCGGCCUGAGAGGGUGAACGGACACACUGGAACUCGAGACACGGUCCAGACUCCUACGGGAGGCAGCAGUAGGGAAUAUUGCUCAAUGGGGGAAACCCUGAAGCAGCAACGCCGCGUGGAGGAUGAAGGUUUUAGGAUUGUAAACUCCUUUUGUUAGAGAAGAUAAUGACGGUAUCUAACGAAUAAGCACCGGCUAACUCCGUGCCAGCAGCCGCGGUAAUACGGAGGGUGCAAGCGUUACUCGGAAUCACUGGGCGUAAAGAGCGCGUAGGCGGGAUAGUCAGUCAGGUGUGAAAUCCUAUGGCUUAACCAUAGAACUGCAUUUGAAACUACUAUUCUAGAGUGUGGGAGAGGUAGGUGGAAUUCUUGGUGUAGGGGGGGUAAAAUCAA
rnacentral:rRNA from 1 species